AAAUCGCAUCAAAGAAUCUUUUGGACGCCGUCACGGCUUAGGUCCUGUGCCCCAAAUCACUUUCUUCUCCAAAUCUACCUGCCUUCCCCCGACCACCGCCGCCCCCGACCACCUUCUGCAAGACCCUAGAUCCAGCUCCCUCCCGGACCACGCCGCAGAGCACACUUCGCCGCCCCCAACUACCACCAAGGAAUCCUCGCCUUCUCCAUGCUUUCCUCCCCGGCCAUAACCGCCUUCGUUCUCCAUGACCUAGCGCCGCCGCCAUCCUCUGCCACCGUGCUUCCCCGUGCAGCGGCUUCCGGGAUCUCCUCGAAUGCCGAAGGGAAAUCGGCAUGGGCAGGAGGGGAACCAAGCCUCUUCUGAGAUCCAUCCGGCGGCGCAUCGAAGUGUGGCGGGCGACGGCGCAUCUUCCUCUCAACCCCCAUCCAGCUCCGUUCAGCUCCAUUCGACAACGUCUCUUCCCAUCCUCUCCUUGUGAACUUCAGCACCACCUCCCGCUGCUCUAAUCCAUAGAUCGGCGCAGGUGAAGUCGGCAUCCUCUCUGGCGAGGUAAGGUUCCCCUCCGCCCAUCCUUCUCCUCAUCCUCUUCCUCUCUUCUCCUUACUCUUCCUCCCCUUCUCUGUUCUUGAUCCCCAAUGUUGCUCUCUGCUCUGUUUCUCUCUGUACAUGUACUGCUUUGCUGCUCUUGCUCUGUUUCUUCCGGUGCUAGUGCAGUGCAUAUAUAUAUGUAUAAUGGUGAUGGGUAGGACAUAGACGCUACUUACAAUAAUAAUUUGUUGAUGGCUAUUGACAAUUUGGGACUUGGAGAUGAGAGAGUUGGACUUCUGUUACUUGUUAUGCGGACUUAAGUUAUGCCAUUAGACUCUAAGAUUACUGACUUAUAUUGUUGUUGUGGAUGCCUAGAUGUGUACAUCUAUUGGAUUUGUUAUUUUGGUGUGCUUAUGAAUUAUUUUUGGUCUCCUUAUAAAUUAUUCUGUAGCUUUGUUACUGCUAUUUUCUGUCCCAUCCCUGAGUUUUAUUUGCUGUAUUUUAUUUGAAAAACUCGAAUUGGACAACUAUGUUUUGUAAUAUCGAUCUCUCUUGUUGCUGCAUUUGACGGGGAAGAAGUUCAGUCAAAGCCGCUCGAUUUGGACACGGCAUACAUGCAUAUAGUACCACCUGUGACUGGACUGCAGCAAGAGAUGCGUUGUUGGCAUGUAGGUUCAGCCAUCAGUCAGGGUGAUCGAUCAAUGGAGGUGGUGCUCGAAGCCUAACUACAAGCACUGUACUCAAGGCCUAACUUGGGCUCUACGUAUGUCUCCUCCCUAUACAUCUGAUGCAGAAGCUACAAGCAGCGCAUCCCCAUGACAGCUUCAGAUGCAUGAAUGGAUACUCCCAUAAGAGUUGGCACCUUGUCACACAUCGUAAGCACUACAAAAUUGUGAAGGAGGUCAGCCGCCACAACACUUCAUUUGCCUGCUUGUUGCCUGCAAAAGACGAUAGCUUAAGAAAAGUGAUCACAAAGGUAAAACAUAAAAAUAACACCAUCUCAUGUACUGAUCCUACCAUCUUUAGUUAUAAAUUAUGAUCAAUUAUUUCCUGGAAAAUUCUUUACGUGUUGGCUGUAUCUGGAUGCUAUGGAAAAGAAUAUAUCGAGCACAUUAUGUUACGUGUAUUUCUUAUAGCAGCUGGUGCUACUGAAAGUGGUGAUUUUACCUAUUUUCCUCUCAAUCCAGUUCAAAGUUCGUAUAAGAAUCCAUGUGUUUAAACGGUGGGUCUCCUUGCUAUAGUUAUUUUAGUUUACACAUUUUGAUUAUUCUGCAGGUUUCCGUCCAAAAACUUCCGUUGCUGAAAAACUCGCUAUCAUACGUGUUCUUCCAUUGCUAUUGUUUGGUAUUUUGGUUUCUCCUUCAAGUCAUCAAUAGUUAAAAGAAUAUUUGAGGAAAUUACUUAUGAAAAACACGAAGGAUGGUUCAUUAUCUAUGCAUCACACUGCCGAGAUCAUUGGUGCGAUCCGGUUUCUUUGGUUUGUAAUCUGACUAUACAUGCAGAAAAUAUCAUGAUAUUGUUGAAUAUGCACUAUUUUCAUGUAUUUUACCUCUUAUCAUGUGUAGCAUAUUGGAGGAGCACCAUGUAGUACUAUCUUUCGUAUUCUGUUGGAGAUGGUUGUGAGCUCUUAUACCAAUUUAAAAACCAGUGAUGCAGCUUUACAACUUUACUGAAAGCACUUGUAAAAUUACUGUUACAUGAAUGAAUCAGGGGUAUGGUAUGUUCCUUGUAGUACUAUGUAUUGAUUAAACACACAGGUACCCUAUGUUGUUGUGAAAGUUGAAUCGACUCAUGUUUUUCCAGAACUUAUUACUCUUGGUUCUGAUUAAAACUCGGCUGUAAAAUACACUAGUAUAGAUGCAUUAGGAGCUGUUGCUCAGCAUUUCAAAAGUGACAUGGUAUGGAAGCAUAAUUCUUUAAUUUUCUUCUAUACAUUAUACUCCCUUAGUCCAUGACUGCACUGCCAGGUUGUUGACAAGAUAGAUAUUAAAAUGGAUGACUUUCUUGAAGAUGGGUCACAAGAAGCUACUAUGUUGGUCAUUCAAGCACUUGCAAUAGCUGUGCCGCAUUCAACAGAUAGACUAUGUAAAUAUAUCCUACUCACUACAUUUUGACCAAAAUUUGCAUGGUUGAUUCGCUCACUCUUUGUUCACACAUCUUGAUAUUAAUAUGUUCUUCUAUUUCCUUUGACCUUGCAUACAUCUUUUAACCAAGAUAUUUAAACUUACAAGUGUCCCACCUACCGGAAAUGAUACUGAACGGGCAUCGUGAAAGAGCAAAUGUAUUCCGUGGAGCGUUGCGUGCUUUCGAUGCUACAGGUUGACCUUUAUCCAAAAUGGUCCAGUGUUUCACUUAUUUCAUAGAAGCCAUGAACUUAGUAUUGAGUCUGCCUCUAACCUUUAUCUGUAGUGCUGCUUGUGUCAUUUGUUUAUAAUCCCAGUAUAAUUUUGUAAGUUAUUUGCUCAUUAUUCACACCCUGAACAGUGUCUAGGCAAUAGAAACUGCAUUUUCAUUCAUGUAUGGACUGUAACAUCGUGCUAGAUUGUGCCUUUGUAGACUCAGGUUUAGAAAUUGAUUAUCUUCAGCAUGCAAAUGCACUUUCGAUUGAUCUCAGAUCUCAUUUCGCUAUUGUAGAUCAACAUUAUAAUUAAGGUAUUGUACACCUCUCCCGAAGGUUUGGCAAGAUCUUGAAGGUGUUGGAGGCUUGGCAAGAGCUGCAAGUUGGAGUGAUGAUACUUCCUUCCUCUAGCCAUUUCCUGUUCUCUUUUACGUUGUACUGCUUUAUCUUUAAGUGCUUCAAUGUACAUUGACUGCAAAAACAAAACCAUGGAACCAGGAAGCUGAAGCAUGUAUAUUGAAACAUAUGUAUCUGGUCUGUUAUGUUUAUGGAAUGAAGUUUCAGGUUUUGGAUGAGCCCUAUAUGUAACUUUGAUUGAAAUGAAUCUAUUAAGUUGUGUGAUC